rnacentral:rRNA from 1 species
UACAGAGGUCCCGAGCGUUGUUCGGAUUCAUUGGGCGUAAAGGGUGCGUAGGCGGCGGGGCAAGUCUGAUGUGAAAUCCCGGGGCUCAACCCCGGAACUGCAUUGGAUACUGCCUUGCUAGAGUACUGGAGAGGGAACUGGAAUUUACGGUGUAGCAGUGAAAUGCGUAGAUAUCGUAAGGAAGACCAGUGGCGAAGGCGGAUCUCUGGACAGUUACUGACACUGAGGCACGAAGGCCAGGGGAGCAAACGGG